GCGAAGAGAUAGCCGGGGACAGUGAGAGAGGAGGAAGAUAUUUUCCCGGGAAAAAUACCGGAAAAUGCGAUGGUACCAACAAUGCAGCUCCCGCGGGAUAUCCGAUUUCCUCCGGAGAAUAUUAGGAACGAUGCCAGGAUAAUGGAUUUGGCGAUGCGUCUUCUUCGACGGGCACAAUGGACAGUAACGGAAAUGCACUACCAGACGACAGGAUCAGAUACCAUAAGGAAUUAGCAAUGAACAGAACAAACUAGAACCGAUGUAUGGUGUUUAGAAUAGUACGACAAAACUCAAUAUCUAAAUUACAAACAAAUUAACAAUCACACUUUCUCAUAAAUUACAUUAAUUAUGUGUCUCGUAUUCCAUUCAUUCAAUUUAGCGAUAUAAUUAAGAAUGCACGCUUAUCUUCCAAACUGUAGGAUCAUUUUUAAAAUCUCGAUAGACGGUACAACUUUGUUCUAUGAUCUAAUAAACUCCGACUACGUUAAGAAGAGAA